UCUCAGCACACCCGUGAGACCCUUUACCUUCACCAGGCUAAGGAGCCGGCAUCAGGCACAGACUCUAGCCCACAACGCCUAGUCUCACCACACCCCCAAGGGUAGUCAGCAGUGAUAAAUUUUGCGCAUGAGCGUCAGCUCGACUCAGUUAGGGAAAAGAGGGCCGGCUAACCCGGUGCCAGCCGCCGCGGCUACCCCGUAGGGCUCAAGUUGAUGAUCGUCGGCGUUAAGCGUGAUUAAAGUUCCUACAAAUUAGGGUCAAAUUAAUACUUAGUAGUUUUAAGCUUGUUAUUAAGAAGAACACAAACGAAAGUUACCCUAAUUACACUUGAAUCCACGACAACUGGGACACAAACUGGGAUUAGAUACCCCACUAUGCCCAGUCGUAAACAAUCUAUUCACACCAACCAACGCCAGGGAAUUACGAGCUAUGCUUAAAACCCAAAGGACUUGACGGUUUCCCACCCCCCUAGAGGAGCCUGUUCUAUAAUCGAUGAUCCCCGCUAUACCUAACCACCCCUCGCCAUCAGUCUGUAUACCUCCGUCGAAAGCUUACCAUAUGAAUGCUUCAGUAGGCCCAAUGAUUCAACACGUCAGGUCAAGGUGCAGCUUAAGGAAUGGGAAGUGAUGGGCUACAAUUUCUAAACUAGAACAAACGAAAGACUAGGUGAAACCCUGGUCAUGAAGGCGGAUUUAGUAGUAAAAAGAAAAUAGAGUGUUCUUUUUAACAUGGCUCUGGGACGCGUA
rnacentral:rRNA from 1 species